AGGGAGGUGGCCAAUGGUUAAGGCGAUGGGCUGCUAAUCCCUUUGGGGUCUGCCCCGUUUGGGGUUUGAAUCCCCUCCUUGUCG